rnacentral:ncRNA from 1 species
UAAAGCUUUGGUCCUAAACUUAAUGCUAUUUUUGAUUAAAAUUACACAUGCAAGCAUCCGCACACCAGUGAGAAUGCCCUUAACAGCAUAAACGGAGCAGGUAUCAGGCACGAACACAUCAGCCCAAAACACCUAGCAAUGCCACACCCACACGGGUAAUCAGCAGUGAUAAACAUUAAGCAAUGAGCGACUCUAUAUUUUCCCAGCUUUCAAAGCUCGACUUAGUUAUAAUCAUAAAGGGCCGGCCAACUUCGUGCCAGCCGCCGCGGUUAUACGAGGGGCCCAAAAUAGCAAACAUCGGCGUAAAUUGUGACUAGAAUAAAUUUUAAACACCAAAAGACAAACCAUGGCCUAACCGUAAAACGCAGACCAAAAGAAGCCCACCCUUUUGGCACCAGAAAUAUUUGAUUCACGAAAACUAAGAAACAAACUAGGAUUAGAUACCCUACUAUGCUUAGACGUUAAUACGACACUUUCCCUACACCAGUGUUCGCCAGAGAACUACUAGCGAAAAGCUUGAAACUCAAAGGACUUGGCGGUGCUCCAUACUCGACUUAGAGGAGCCUGUCCUAUAACCGAUGAUCCACGAUAAACCUUACCAUUUUUUGCCAUAUCAGCCUAUAUACCGCCGUCGCCAACUUACCCCAUGAGGGCUAAAAAGUAAGUACAAUAGUACAACAACUAAUACGUCAGGUCAAGGUGUAGCUAAUAAAAUGGUAGAGAUGGGCUACAUUUUUUAACAUAAAACACACGGCAAAGCACCAUGAAACUUGGUGCUCGAAGGCGGAUUUAACAGUAAGACAAGCAAGAAAGCUUGCCUUAAACUCGCUCUGGAGCGCGCACACACCGCCCGUCACCCUCCUCAACCAAAAACAACCCGUACAUAACACAAAUUACACCAAAAAGAUGAGGUAAGUCGUAACAUGGUAAGCGUACUGGAAAGUGCGCUUGGACAAAA